UCGAACGGGGAUGCUUAUGGAAGGAGUGCUUGCACUUUGGAAAUGAGUAUCUUAGUGGCGGACGGGUGAGUAACGCGUGGGUAACCUGCCCCAUACCGGGGGAUACCACCUGGAAACAGGUGCUAAUACCGCAUAAGCACACGGGAGCGCAUGCUCCUGUGUGAAAAACUCCGGUGGUAUGGGAUGGACCCGCGUCUGAUUAGCCAGUUGGCAGGGUAACGGCCUACCAAAGCGACGAUCAGUAGCCGGCCUGAGAGGGUGGACGGCCACAUUGGGACUGAGACACGGCCCAAACUCCUACGGGAGGCAGCAGUGGGGAGUAUUGCACAAUGGGGGAAACCCUGAUGCAGCGACGCCGCGUGAGUGAAGAAGUAUUUCGGUAUGUAAAGCUCUAUCAGCAGGAACGAGACAAGACGGUACCUGACUAAGAAGCCCCGGCUAACUACGUGCCAGCAGCCGCGGUAAUACGUAGGGGGCAAGCGUUAUCCGGAAUCACUGGGUGUAAAGGGAGCGUAGACGGCUGAGCAAGCCUGAAGUGAAAGGCGGGGGCCCAACCCCCGGACUGCUUUGGGAACUGUACGGCUGGAGUGCAGGAGAGGUAAGUGGAAUUCCUAGUGUAGCGGUGAAAUGCGUAGAUAUUAGGAGGAACACCAGUGGCGAAGGCGGCUUACUGGACUGUAACUGACGUUGAGGCUCGAAAGCGUGGGGAGCAAACAGGAUUAGAUACCCUGGUAGUCCACGCCGUANACGAUGAUUACUAGGUGUCGGGGGGCAGNGGCCCUUCGGUGCCGCAGCAAACGCAAUAUGUAAUCCACCUGGGGAGUACGUCCG
rnacentral:rRNA from 1 species